CAAAACAAAUUUUUUGCCACAAACGUAUCAGCCCCCUCCCUCUAAAGAAACAAAACUGUGUUUGUGUGUGCAUGCACGGGGCUAAGGGUCCAUGCGUGCGCACGUGUGGGUGUGUGACAGAGAGUAGAGAGAGAGAGAGAGAGAGAGAGAUUAUCGUAAUCUUAAUUGGGAAAAAAAAAAAGGUUCGCACUGUUGUAUUAUUUGGAUCAUCCUCGCUCUGAGUUCCUCGAGUAUUCGGAUAUGAAGCU